rnacentral:lncRNA from 10 species
UGAUUACACUAUUUCACUGUCUUCCUACCAUCCAUAGUCGGUGCUCUUCCCCUUGAAAGGUGGAGCAUAAGGUGGUAACCCUCUCUGUUAGUUUAUAUAUUCCAUAUGCAGAAUGGAAAUAUAUAUGGUGGAAAUAUUUGAUAAUGUUUAUACACUAAGUCAUUAAAUUGAUGUUUUUAAAUAAUGAGAGUCAACCUUUUUAAGUCCUCUUAUUAACUGCAGCAUUUUCAGGGAAUUAGUCGGUAAAACUUUAAUAUAAUCUUUUUGAUUAAUUUUAUGUAUUUUUUUCUAAUGAAAGGAAAUUGGAUGCAAUUCUUUAAGUUCACAUAAUAUUUAAUAUUAUAGUUUUGCCUGGAAUAUUAACUGCCUUUGGGGGAGAUUUUCAGAGAUUCGAUUUGGUAAUCCAAGGGUCCUAGCUGAUAUUUUAAAAAUAAAUAAAAUUUGCAAAUUAAUAAGUAGUGUAGAUUCCCAUUAUCUUAUUACAUUAGGUCCAAUUAAGUAAUUUACACAAGGAAAAUUAGUCUUGAAGUAACCUGGUCAGGAAUACAAUAGAGGUAGUCCGGUUCGACAUUAUGUCCUUUUUUUUUUUUUUUUUUUGAGACGGAGCCUCACCCUGUCGCCCAUGCUGGAGUGCAAUAACAUGAUCUCGGCUCACUGCAAACUCCACCUCCCGGGUUCAAACAAUUCUCUUGCCUCAGCCUCCUGAGUAGCUAGGAUUACAGGCACCUGCCACCAUGCCCAGCUAAUUUUUGUAUUUUUAGUAGAGACGGGGUUUGACCAUGUUGGCCAGGCUGGUCUCGAACUCCUGACCUCGUGAUUCACCCGCCUCAGCCUCCCAAAGUGCCAGGAUUACAGGCAUGAGCCACCACGCCCAGCCUGACAUUAUGUUCUUAGACACUACAAAAUACCACCUUACAUUCUUUGUAUGUUUGUUAAAAUCUUCUCCAAUACUCAUUGUAAAUACUUGAAAAAAAAAGAAGACAAACCUUUAACUUCUCUUUCUUCCCAAGAAGAUGCUAAAUUUACUUUAUUUUACUCCAUAAUAGAAUGAGAAAUAUCAUAGUCCAUAUGUAAUUUAUAAAUUACUAAUCAAGAUUUAUAGAAAGUAGAUAAAAUCAACUUGAAUUAAUUCAUAUUUCCUUAACCCCUUCUCUAGAAUAAAGAAUAUAUUCUUUGGUUAUUCAUUUUUAACAUCUAACACACAAGAGAAUAUAUAUAUUUUUAAAAUAUGAAAUUUUUUGAUAUGUUGUAAUCAUUUUGGUAUAAGUGCUACAUAGUUUUCAAAAAAGGGGAAAAAACCUUAUGCAGUGUUUUAUAGUAUGACAACCCAGAAAGAUCAAGAUUGGAAAUUCAUAAAUGUACUAUAGCACUAUUUGUUAUUUUUAUUAGGUUUAUAUUUAAAUACUUUCAUACUAAAUGUUGGGCUAAUUAUUAAUCCUUCUACAACUCUAAUAAUUUUGAGGAUUAAAAGGCAAAAUAAAAAUCUACUCUAAAAGAAAACUAGAACAUAAUUAUAGGAGAGCAUGAACAACUUUAUACAAAAAUCUUUUAAAACAUACAGGCUCACACUUGUAAUCCCAGCACUUUGCCAAGGCAGGUAGAUUGCUUGAGCUCAGGAGUUCGAGACCAGCCUGGGCAACAUGGUGAAACCCUGUCUCUACCAAAAUAAAAAAAAUUAGCUGGGCGUGGUGGUGCCCCUCUGUGGUCCCAGCUACUCGGGAGGCUGAGGUGGGAGGAUCACUUGAGUCUGGGCGGCAAAGGUUGAAUGAGCCAAGACUGUGCCACUGCACUCCAGCCUGGGUGACAGAGUGAGACCCCAUCCCGAAAUUUUUUUAAAAACAUAAAUAAAAUAUAAAACCAAUUUUCUAAAGUAUGUAAUUUUCCAAAACCAACAGAAAAGAAGCUAUGACUAGACAUAAAGCUACUUAAAAAUCAUGUAUUUGUACUUUGAAAUCUACCCAAAAACAAACUAACAACCCACUACACUUCUUUAGGCAGGCAUUUUUAUAGGUGAAUUACAUAAAAACUCAAAGAUCAUGAAAAAAUGAUGGCAUAGAUGUUAGCUGGCUUCACUUUCCCCCAACAGAAAAGCAAAAAUGAAUAUACAGUGCUGAGAUUUUCACAUCUUCAGUGACCCUCCUCCCAAUUUUCCCAACACCAAGUGCAUGGAAAAUUUCCUCUGCCUCACAGUUUCUCCACUGGAAAAAGUGAGAUCAAGGUGGACAACCAGCUUCCUCACCAUCUUGAAUAUGCUGGAAGGAGAUCUAUCCCUACCUCAAACCACAGGAAGCAUUUGGGAGUACCAGAAUUGAGAAAUAUCCUCGAGGAUAGCCAGAGACAAAGAGGGAAGGCAGGACUGCCAUCCCCAACCUUGGAAUUUCUGCUCUAUAACUUGGCCAGAGGAGAUAGUAAAUUACAGCAGCUAUUCAGCAGCAUCAUGUUGUAGGAGGUUUGUUCCACAGGUCCCCUGGGCAGGAACCCCCAAGCCAGCCUUCCCACAACACCACUAUAUUUUGUUUGGUAUGACACUCAUUCCAUUCAGGACAGGCUGCUGCACUCUGUUUACUAGAACCAAGGAAAACCUGGGAUUCAAGAGCCAUCUAAUGCCAAAAAGAAAAAAAAAAUAGUAGAAAAAUUAAAAAAAAAAAUCAGUAGAUAAAUUACAAACAAUAUCUAAGAAAAAAUAUCUAAUAAAUACCAAAACAAGACAGACUGGAAUAAAUAACUAGUCCUUCAAUUCAAAGACAUAGAUAUACAACCACAAGAAACAACGGCAAACAGGGAACUAUGACCUCAACAGAUGGAAAGAGCAAGGAAUCAGUGACGGACCCUAAUGAGAUGGCAAUACGUAAAUUAUCUAAACAAGAAUUAAAAAUAGCGGGGUUGUUUUAAAAUUAUACUUUAAGUUCUGGGGUACAUGUGCAGAACUUGCAGGUCUGUUACAUAGGUAUACACAUGCCAUGGUGGUUUGCUACACCCAUCAACCCAGCAUCUACCUUAGGUAUUUCUCCUAAUGCUAUCCCUCCCCCAGGCCUCCACCCCUCAACAGGCCCAGGUAUGUGAUGCACCCCACCCCCCGUGUCCAUGUAUUCUCAUUGUUCAACUCCCAC